UGGGGAAUAUUGCACAAUGGGGGAAACCCUGAUGCAGCGACGCCGCGUGAAGGAAGAAGUAUCUCGGUAUGUAAACUUCUAUCAGCAGGGAAGAAAAUGACGGUACCUGACUAAGAAGCCCCGGCUAACUACGUGCCAGCAGCCGCGGUAAUACGUAGGGGGCAAGCGUUAUCCGGAUUUACUGGGUGUAAAGGGAGCGUAGACGGAGCAGCAAGUCUGAUGUGAAAGGCAGGGGCUCAACCCCUGGACUGCAUUGGAAACUGUUGGUCUUGAGUACCGGAGGGGUAAGCGGAAUUCCUAGUGUAGCGGUGAAAUGCAUAGAUAUUGCGCAGAACUCCGAUUGCGAAGGCAGCGUACCGGUGCCGGACUGACGCUGAGGCACGAAAGCGUGGGGAUCAAACAGGAUUAGAUACCC
rnacentral:rRNA from 1 species